rnacentral:rRNA from 1 species
UACGUAGGGUGCAAGCGUUGUCCGGAAUUAUUGGGCGUAAAGAGCUCGUAGGCGGUCUGUCGCGUCGGCUGUGAAAACUCGGGGCUCAACUCCGAGCUUGCAGUCGAUACGGGCAGGCUAGAGUUCGGCAGGGGAGACUGGAAUUCCUGGUGUAGCGGUGAAAUGCGUAGAUAUCGAGAGGAACACCUGCGGCGAAGGCGGGUUGCUGGGCUGACACUGACGCUGAUGUGCGAAAGCUAGGGGAGCGAACGGG